AUACUUGAGCUAGAGUGUCGUACGGGUGCGUAACACGUAUGCAACCUACCUUUUACAGGAGUAUAGCUCCCCGAAAGGGGAAUUAACCCUCCAUAAUAUCAUUGGAUGGCAUCAUUUGAUGAUUAAAACUGAGGUGGUAAAAGAUGGGCAUGCGUCUGAUUAGUUAGUUGGCAGUGUAACGGACUACCAAGACGAUGAUCAGUAGGGGACCUGAGAGGGUGAUCCCCCACACUGGCACUGAGAUACGGGCCAGACUCCUACGGGAGGCAGCAGUAGGGAAUAUUGGACAAUGGGUGAGAGCCUGAUCCAGCCAUGCCGCGUGCAGGAAGAAGGCGUUAUGCGUUGUAAACUGCUUUUGCCAGGGGAUAAAACGGUUCUGCGGAACUAAUUGAAGGUACCUGGUGAAUAAGCCACGGCUAACUACGUGCCAGCAGCCGCGGUAAUACGUAGGUGGCAAGCGUUGUCCGGAUUUAUUGGGUUUAAAGGGUGCGUAGGCGGCCCUGUAAGUCAGUGCUGAAAUAUCCCGGCUUAACCGGGAGGGUGGCAUUGAUACUGCAGGGCUUGAGUACAGAUGAGGUAGGCGGAAUUGACGGUGUAGCGGUGAAAUGCAUAGAUAUCGUCAAGAACACCGAUAGCGAAGGCAGCUUACCAAGCUGUAACUGACGCUGAGGCACGAAAGUGUGGGGAUCAAACAGGAUUAGAUACCCUGGUAGUCCACACUGUAAACGUUGAUGACUCGAUGUUGGCGAUAUACAGCCAGCGUCCAAGAGCAAUCGUUAAGUCAUCCACCUGGGGAG
rnacentral:rRNA from 1 species